rnacentral:rRNA from 1 species
UACGGAGGGUACAAGCGUUGCUCGGAAUUAUUGGGCGUAAAGGGUAGGUAGGUGGUCUCAUUUGUCUGGGGUGAAAGCCUUGAGCUUAACUCAAGAAGUGCCCCAGAAACGGUGAGACUGGAGUCCAGGAGAGGAACGCGGAAUUCCAGGUGUAGCGGUGAAAUGCGUAGAUAUCCGGAAGAACACCGGUGGCGAAGGCGGCCUGCUGGGCAGUUGCUGACACUGAGGCGCGACAGCGUGGGGAGCAAACAGG